UCGCCUGUUUAACAAAAACAUAGCUUUACGGACUUUAUGUAAGGUGAUACCUGCCCGGUGAUCAUUUAACGGCCGCAGUACUUUGACUGUGCUAAGGUAGCAUAAUAAAUUGGCUUUUAAUUGAAGUCUAGAAUGAACGGAUAAAUGAAUAGAACCUUUCUUAAUUUAAGUUUUUAAAAUUUACUUAGGAGGUGAAAAUUCCUUUAGUGACUUAAAUAAACGAGAAGACCCUAGGAGUUUUUUAUUUUGUUGGGGCGACACUGCAGCACUUUAACCUGCGAACAAAAAAGUAAUUUUACAAAUUAUUUUAAUGAAAAUUAAGCUACCCUAGGGAUAACAGCAUAAUUUAUAAUAAGAUUGUGACCUCGAUGUUGGACUAGGAAAAUUUAAUGUUAACUAUAUUAAAG
rnacentral:rRNA from 1 species